GACAGAGGGUGCAAACGUUGUUCGGAAUUACUGGGCGUAAAGCGUGUGUAGGUGGCUGCGAAAGUCGGAUGUGAAAGCCCUGGGCUCAACUCAGGAAGUGCACCCGAUACUGCGUAGCUCGAGUACCGGAGAGGUUGGUAGAAUUCCAGGUGUAGCGGUGAAAUGCGUAGAUAUCUGGAGGAACACCGGUGGCGAAGGCGGCAUCCUGGACCAACACUGACACUGAAAAGCGAAAGCCAGGGGAGCAAACGGG
rnacentral:rRNA from 1 species